rnacentral:rRNA from 1 species
UACGUAGGGUGCGAGCGUUAAUCGGAAUUACUGGGCGUAAAGCGUGCGCAGGCGGUGAUGUAAGACAGAUGUGAAAUCCCCGGGCUCAACCUGGGAACUGCAUUUGUGACUGCAUCGCUGGAGUGCGGCAGAGGGGGAUGGAAUUCCGCGUGUAGCAGUGAAAUGCGUAGAUAUGCGGAGGAACACCGAUGGCUAAGGCAAUCCCCUGGGCCUGCACUGACGCUCAUGCACGAAAGCGUGGGGAGCAAACAGG